rnacentral:rRNA from 1 species
UACGAAGGGGGCUAGCGUUGCUCGGAAUCACUGGGCGUAAAGGGCGCGUAGGCGGCCUGGCAAGUGGAAGGUGAAAUCCCUCGGCUUAACCGAGGAACUGCCUCCCAAACUGCUUGGCUUGAGACCGGGAGAGGUGAGUGGAAUUCCCAGUGUAGCGGUGAAAUGCGUAGAUAUUGGGAGGAACACCAGUGGCGAAGGCGGCUCACUGGACCGGUACUGACGCUGAUGCGCGAAAGCGUGGGGGAGCAAACGGG